rnacentral:misc_RNA from 1 species
AAAAAAAGUGGACAGCAAGAAAACAUUGUUGUACAAGGUAGUGAAGCAAUUAAAUCAGAACAAUUUCUGAGAAUAAGCUGAAAAAAAACAAUAAGCUGAAACUAAUAUAAAAACAAAACGCAAUUAGUUUCAUUUAAACACUUCAUUUUAGCAACUUCCCUUUUUCCUGAGAUGCCAAAAUUUCCAAGGUGCAAAUUUGACUACAUAGAGAAGAGGGGAGAAACCUUAACUCUAAAUCAGAAACUGGAGAGCUAACAGAUUUGAAAACGCAAACAAAAGAGAAUAUACCUUCCUGACUUAGAAGAAUGCCCA